UUAAUGAACUUGUAAAGUAUACGCCUUGAAAGCGUAAAAAAGGGGAAUCAACCCCUAUUAAUUU
rnacentral:tRNA from 1 species